ACUUGGUGGGACAUACAGAUAGCACCAGUGCAUGUUGCGGCUUUUUUGCUUUUUGCCCUGCUUUUUGCUUUCGCUCUUGCUUCUGCUUCGCUUCUGCUUUGCUUGCUCUUGCUUUUUUCCCCCCUUCUCAGUAGUUACUUUAGCUAAACAGUCCAAAUUCCUUUCUGGACUGUUCCCCCCACCCCGUUGGACCUGCUUACUGCUCCGAACUGGGAUUCAGAACACGGAAAGAGAGUUUACACCUUGUGACUGCAGCAGCUGCCUCAGCGCCUGAGGUACUGAUAACAGCAAACCCCCAGGAGAGACUUUUCUGAAUUUGUCAUCUUUCUCAGAGCAGUGGAAGAGUGGUGUCAUCUGGAGAGUGAAUGUGUUUUUCACAAUUUGGGCAGCUAGCCCAGGAUGUAACACCUCGCUUCCGAGACCCCAGAGGACGCAGAGCGGCACACCCCACUCAAGUUCGGCAGCCUCACUCGCUUCUUCUGGCGUGGAUUGGCGGUUGCAGGUAGAACACCCGGAAGACAAAAGGAGACACAUAAAGCAAAGAAAAUGGAAAAGGCUCCCUAAACCGCGGUAGCCCCACAAAUUCUUGUGCAUUAAGACCCGAAGAAAAAAAGAGGAUUGGAUUCUUGUUUUCCAGCACCACCCUAGUCUGUUGCCAGGAGGAUGACAAUUCCCCUUGGACGGUGGGGAGAGGGGGAUAUUUGCAUCUCAGGAGACAUGCAAAUUUACCCCCAAACCCAGACUACCUUGGGACAGGACCUUUACCAAAUCCUGGAAAAUACCCCAAAAGAGACGAGCCGAAGCAGAAUUAAAAGGUCAGAGUGGUAUCUGGACAGCAGGGCCGAGGUCCGAAGCCGGCAGAGAUGCUUGAAAACCUCGGUCACUCCUCGCCCCAACUACAAACGAUGUCAGUCAGACCCAGGACCCGCUGAACUGACAACCCAAACUGAGAAACCCUGGGUAUACCCCACUGCCUUGCGAGGACAGGACUCCCGGCUCUGCCCCCUUGAGGAAAGAGCUGCAAGUCCUCCUCUUCUGAUUCACUGCUGGGAGCGGCAGCAGAACUCUGCGGAUCUGCCAAAACCCCCAUUCUCGAGCUGAUCACUUUAAUAAAGGCAUUAAAAGGAGGAGAAUCUCCUGCCCUGUUUAUUUCAGUUUGGA